rnacentral:rRNA from 1 species
UACGUAGGGGGCAAGCGUUGUUCGGAAUUACUGGGCGUAAAGGGCGCGUAGGCGGCACGGCAAGUCAGGAGUGAAAGGCCUGGGCUCAACCGAGGAACUGCUUUUGAGACUGCCGAGCUAGAGUGCAGAAGGGGCAACUGGAAUUCCCAGUGUAGCGGUGAAAUGCGUAGAUAUUGGGAAGAACACCGGUGGCGAAGGCGGCAUCCUGGACCGGUAUUGACGCUGAGGCGCGAAAGCCAGGGGAGCAAACGGG